AUACGGAGGGUGCAAGCGUUAAUCGGAAUUACUGGGCGUAAAGCGUACGUAGGCGGUUCGGUAAGUUAGAUGUGAAAGCCCCGGGCUUAACCUGGGAACUGCAUUUAAAACUGGCGAACUAGAGUUGAGUAGAGGGGAGUGGAAUUUCAGGUGUAGCGGUGAGAUGCGUAGAGAUCUGAAGGAACACCAGUGGCGAAGGCGGCUCCCUGGACUCAAACUGACGCUGAGGUACGAAAGCGUGGGUAGCAAACGGGAUUAGAAACCCUAGUAGUCC
rnacentral:rRNA from 1 species